rnacentral:pre_miRNA from 1 species
CAACUACUCCCUCUGUCCCAAAUUUCUUGUCUUAGAUUUGUCUAGAUACGGAUGUAUCUAAUACUAAAAUGUGACUUGAUACAUCUGUAUCUAGACAAAUCUAAGACAAGAANUAGACAAAUCUAAGACAAGAAUUUUGGGACGGAGGGAGUACUUU